rnacentral:lncRNA from 1 species
AAAUCGUGAGUACCUCUCUCUAGUUGUGUUAUAUAGCUUAUAAUGUGUUUAAUAACAUAUAUUACAUAGCAAAACAACUACAUUUAGGAGUAUACUCCCCAAGGUGUUCUUGGGCGGUAAACUCCCGAAAUGAUGCCUAGUCCCUUCCACUUGUUAAAUAACGAGCUUAGGCUUGUAUUUAGGUGUAUUUAAGACAAGAAAACAUCAAAGAAACACCAAACUUUAGGUGUUCACGGCCCAAGAAGAUCUUGGACCGUGAACUCCAAAAACAAGGACCAAAGAGUGCUUUUAACACUCCUAAAGCUUUGGAUAAUUACCUAGAUUUACUCUUAGUUAUUUGAGGGACCUUAAAACAUCAUAAACCCCUCCCAAAGAGAGAUUACGGCCGUAAUCUCUAAGGCAAAAGGCUCUUGGGCCGUGAACAUCAAUCAAGGGCACCAAAGUGUGUCUAAGGCCUUCAUUUGCCUUAGAUAAAUGUCUAGAACCUAUCCUACAUGUGCAUGGGACUUGAAAGCAUAAAAACACCCCUUCCAUAUGAGUUUACGGCAGUAAACUCAAAAGGAAUUGGCCUUGGGGCCGUAAACUCCUCAAAUGAGUGUAUUAGUGCCCUAAACCCUUCAAAGAAUUAAUCCACAAAGUUGGAAUGCUUCUAGGGAUCAUUUAGAACUUCAAAACACAAAAUAACACCAAGCUUAGGAGUUCACGGCCGUAAACUCAAGGGUUUACGACCGUAAACUCCUUGUUUGAUGUUUAUGGGAGAGUAAACUCAUGUAUAGGGUCCUUUGGAACCCUAAACCCAAUUGCCUUGUCCCACAAUAACUUAGAUGCAAUCCUUAGAGCUUAUAACACUUAUAUAAAGUGUUUAUCAUGUGCUAGGAUGUCUUAGCAUUUGCAAUUACUAGUUUAAGACUAAUUGGGUGCAUAUAUGUGUGAUUAUAUGUUCAUUAGGAUCAUAGUGUGUGUACAAGUCCUCACUUGACACCUAACAGUCCGAAAUUCUUCAGUUCAUCCAAACCACCAUCUACAGGUGAGUUCAUACCCCUAAAUCAGUGUUUUAAAUGAUUUUAAAUGCUUUAAUGGGGGGGAAUACAAGUCGAAAACAACAUGUUAUUAAAUCAUCCAUAUGUAUUUUAUAACUGUGUUUUCAUUCAGCAGAUUUCACAUACUACAAAAUGUGAUGCAUGAAAUGGUUUUCUAUCUUAAAAAUACUUUGUUAUCAAAUGUAUUACUUUUGAAAUGUUUAUUAAAAUGACAUCAAGUCAUUGUUAAUUAUUGUUCAAAACUCUUAGAUGUCUUACAAAACCAUUUUACCUUCUUGAACCAAACUAUACGUAUACACUUAUGUUUCUUAUAUAUGUAUUGAUGUUAUAGUUUUCAUCCUUCAUUUAGUUUCCCACACUCUUGUGUAGCAAGGGUGUAUAAACCUACUUGAAUAACCAAUUACCUUUCAGUUAACUAUCAUAGGGAUAGUUAGAAGAUACAAAACAUUAUUCCUAUUACAAGGAAUCACACAAGAGUCAGUUCAUUCAUGAGUCUAUACCAGUACAUUACCUGAUACAUGAGUACAUUUAUCUAGGAUUACAUGAUACAUGAGUACAUUUAUCUAGGAUUACAUGAUACAUAAGUACGUUUUCAUAGAUACAUUUAUCUGAAUACGCUUACAUGAAUACCAUACAUGAGUACUGUUACAUAGAUACAUUAUCCUGUAUUCACUUACCUGGAUACUUGUACCUAGAGUUAUGAGGAAGAUUUAUUCGUACCUUCUGUGUAAAUUUUCCUGCCUAUCCCUGUUCGACGGGAUGUCUAGACGGGACUAACCAUUCCGGAACCCAGCUGUUAGCACCACUGGGUGAUGAACAUCUACGGAUGUCUAAGGUUAUCACUUAUAAUAGAUAGAUUGAUAUCGGAACUAACCAUUCCUCCAUCCUGCUGUUGCAACAGAGGAUGAGAUGAAAAUCUUCGGAUGAUCAUUAGGUUACCACUUAUAUUAGGAGUCGGCUACGGGACUAACCCUUCCUCCAACCUGCUGCUGCUACAGAGGACAAUUGGACCAUCUUCGGAGGUUCAUUAGGUUAUACAUAUCGCUUACUGCGAUGGCGUGUUAGUCCUGGUAUCCAGGGAUAACACUUACAUGGUUAUAUUUUUCCUAUUUACUUAAUUUUGUGAUAUAUUCACAUAAACGAUGAGUUAGACUAAUUACUGUUUGUAGUAGUCAAAAAGAAGGAAAAACUAUCAUUUUACUUACAAAACAUUCGGGUCUUGGUAGAAGACUACAUUAUCAUAACAAAACAUUCGGGUCUUGGUAGAAGACUACAUUAUCAUAACAAAACAUUCGGGUCUUGGUAGAAGACUACAUUGUCAUAACAAAACAUUCGGGUCUUGGUAGAAGACUACAUUGUCAUAACAAAACAUUCGGGUCUUGGUAGAAGACUACAUUGUCAUAACAAAACAUUCGGGUCUUGGUAGAAGACUACAUUGUCAUAACAAAACAUUCGGGUCUUGGUAGAAGACUACAUUGUCAUAACAAAACAUUCGGGUCUUGGUAGAAGACUACAUCUCAAACUGAUAGAAAAUAAGGGAUUUUCUAGGGCUUUUCAUACUUACAUCAACAUUUUCAUUUAAAGGUUUACAUGACUUUUAAAACAGCUUUUCAAAGCAAGACAAUGACACUUAAAUACUUAUGAAUUCACCAGCUUUAAAGCUGAUACUCUCUUUCAAAAUAACUUGUAUUCUCAGGUCACCAGUAGACAGGUACGAUGGCCAGGUUUUGAGAAGACGGAGCACAGACAAGUCUCGUCUUUUAUUUUGAUUGUAUAUUUUUUGGUGUCUUAUUACAAUGAAAGAACACACAUGUAUUAAAACUUUACUUAUAAUGCAAUGGAUGAUGUUGUUGCUUGUUUACUAUAUUACACUGUUGUGAUACUGUACAUGACGUCCUCCACCCCGGAACGUUUCCGCCGUUCUUGGUUUUGGGGUGUGACAGAUUGGUAUCAGAGCAUUGUUUAUAGUGAAUAUAGUAUAUCAACCCAUAAAAGAUAUACUAACUAUAAAUACAUAGGGAUUAAAACACUCUGUCUAAGAGUUAUACUUUUAAAUAAUAAAAUAUUUAAGUAAGUAUACGUGCCUGCAUUCAUACUAAAAUCAGUGUCACAAUGACAAGAACAAAAGUAUUACGAUUGUUGAAUAUCACAAGUAAGCCUGGGGAUAUAUGGUCAGUCUUGGGAAUGGCAUAGCCUGAUCAACUAUGCUGGUCCAAGGAGUGAUUAGCAUAUGCCCAAGAAUGGUUGUGAUGUGGCAACAAGUCUAAAAACUUACCAACACAACCAUAAAGAAAUACCAUAGGGGUAUUUGGUCUUACUGUAAUUAUCUUAGUCAGUUCGUCUAUUUAGCUAUAUCUUAUAUCCCUUUUCUCGCAUAAAUUAAAAUGGAUGGAUUUCACCAUGGCGAUCCGUACUUCCCAAACCAAGGCAAUGCUGGAUGGCUAGAGGCAGAACCAGAAGAUGAUCACCAAAUCCCCUUUGAUGAUCACCAUGCUGAGGGUUUUUCCGAUAGUUCUGACUCGGAGCCUGAGGUCAACAACCUACCCCCAGCUGCUCAAGACCCAAACCUGAACCCCCGUCCCGCAUUUCAAGGACCCACACCUCUGUGGGCCACGAACUUGAAUACAUGGAGCCAGGAACAAGGUCAACCCAUUCCCUACAAUGGAGACCGAAGUUUCUACAACCUCACUAAAGGAGGUUCUGCUGAAAAAGUCCUACCAAUCAUGGUUCGUAGGAUUUCUCGAAACACGAUAAUGGCUCAAGCAACUAUCAAUCAAGUCUUGGAGGUUGACGCCAACUCUGGUGUUAACACUGUCCACAUUCACCAACUAGAAUCUGCUCAUGAAAGGACUCUAGUCCACAAUGCAAAUCUGCAGAGGGAACUUGCUGAAACUCAAGCUGAAGUUAGAGAACUUUGAGCUCAGCAAGUGAGAGCUGACAGGCGUAUAAGGGACAUAGAACGCCUACUGUCAGGAUCAAGAACUCAUGCUAGCAGUUCUCGUCGCUGAUAGAAUCUCGACGACUCAUCUUUUGGAUACAACCUAGUCUAUGUAAAAACUUUGGUCUAAUUUCCUAUCUUUAUAAAUCUUAGACCUGUUAGGUCUUGAUCUAGUCAUAGUUCUGUCAAAAAUUUUCCUAUUUGGUUGAUGUAAGGCCUACUUCUAGGCCAUUUUUCCCGAACUUGUUACAUCUGUUAACCCAAUAUUAUUGACAGAUAUCUAAUCAUAUGGAAAUUAUUAUCCAAAUGCUGUCAUCUUCAUUUAGUCAUACUAUUCAUUUUGUUGUUGGACUAUGGGGAAUUAGUCCAUGAGACACAUUCAUUAUUCAAUUAUUCUUAUCCAUGUCGUCAUCUUUUAAACGCAUAGUUAAAGAUGCCGCCACGCAGAAAUCCUAGGCGUCACCCAAACAACGAAGCACCGAUACCACCACCUCCACCACCACCUCAACCUCUUCAACCACCUACUCCUUUCGAUGCCAAUAUGUUCCAGGCAGCUUUCACAGCAGCAGUUUCAGCUGCUGUGUUAGCAAUCAACGCUCCUGUCCCUAGUGGAUCGGGAACAGGUGCACCUCCCUCGAACCACGGCGAAAGCCAUGGACACCCUCGGGAAUGCACCUAUAAGGACUUCACGAACGCCAAGCCCCGCAACUUCAAUGGUACUGGUGGGGUUAUGGUGUUAAGGCAAUGGAUUAAAAAGAUGGAAUCUGUCUUUGAAAUUUGCACUUGCCAGGAGGGCAACAAGGUCAAGUUUGCAGCUUGUACCUUCUCUGAUAGAGCAUUAACAUGGUGGAACGGCCAUGUUAAGUAUCUGACUUUGGUGGUGGCGUAUGCCAUCAGCUGGGAAAAAUUGAAGGACAUGCUGAUGAAAGAGUACUGUCCUCGAGGUGAAGUACAAAAACUCGAGUAGGAACUCUGGGGUCUACAAAUGGUUGGAUCCGACAUCACAACCUAUACAAAUAGGUUCUGUGAUCUGACAAACCUAUGCCCCGAUAUGGUUGCUCUUGAGAGCAAGAAGAUAGAGAGAUAUAUCUGGGGACUGUCGCCGCAGAUCCAAGAAAGUGUGUUAGCUUCCAGGCCUAUCACUUUCGAUAGUGCCAAGGAACUAGCACAAUCUCUCAUAGAUCACCGAAAACCUGAGAACCCAACAAUCCCUGCACCUGUACCACAAAAGGUUAACAACAACAAGAAGGGGUGGACUAAGAGGAAAAUUGGGGCUUCGCAAGAAUCCACCAAGAAACAACAACUUGUGGCAAUCAAUGCUGCCACAGUGACUCCCGUUGUCCCUGCGAACCCCUUACCAGCAAAAACUUAUGCUGGAACUCUCCCGAAGUGCAAAAAGUGCAUCUUCCACCACCGCAGACCUUGCAGGGAGAUGCAGUGCACUAACAGUAACAAGAAGGGGCACAUAGUCCGUUUCUGCCAGACUCCAACAGCUCAGGCCGCCCAGGUUCCUAAUGCCGGUAUGGGCCAAACUUGCUACGGUUGUGGCGAAGUGGGCCACUACAAGAGGAACUGCCCUAAAGCGGGGAUGGUUGGAGGGGUAGGAAGAGUUAUGGCCCUAGGCCACGAGGAAGCAGUAGCUGAUCCUACGAUAGUUACUGGUACGUUCCUCCUCGAUAACUCAUAUGCUUGCAUACUUUUCGACAGUGGAGCAGAGAGAAGUUUCGUAAGUCAUAAAUUUGCACACCUGCUUAAACAAAAACCAUGUGCAUUAGAUAAUUCAUUCACGGUAGAAAUGGCUAACGGGAAAACAAAGAGUACAAACUGCAUAUACGUAGGUUGUACCUUAACUUUAGAUGGCCAUACUUUCAAGAUAGACCUCAUGCCAGUCCCAAUUAAAUGUUUCGACGUUAUCAUCGGCAUGGAUUGGUUGAGUCUUCUUCGCGCCGACAUCAUGUGCUUUGAAAAAGCAGUUCGUCUUAACCUUCCUAACAACAAAACAUUAGUUAUCUACGGCGACAAACCUAGUACAAGCCUCCGCAUCAUUUCGUGCAUUCAAGCCCAGAAGUGCUUGCGAAAGGAAUAUCAUGCAUUCCUCGCGCACAUCGUCGAUACAAGUCAAGAGGUGAAAGACAUUCAGAACAUCCCAGAAGUACGCGACUUUCCCAGCAUCUUCCCAGAAGAACUUCCCGGCUUACCCCCACAACGCCAAGUCGAGUUCAGAACCGACUUAGUGCCAGGAGCUACCCCUGUAGCCAAAUCUCCUUAUUGUCUGGAACCGACCGGAAUGCAGGAACUUUCCAGUCAGCUUAACGAACUUCUCAAGAAGGGAUUCAUUCGACCAAGCUUCUCACCUUGGGGAGCACCGGUCUUGUUCGUCAAGAAGAAAUAUGGAUCGUUUCGCAUGUGCAUCGACUAUAGAGAACUCAACAAGCUUACCAUUAAAAAUCGUUAUCCUUUGCCCCGCAUUGACGAUNAACUUCAAGGAGACAACUACUUCUCGAAGAUAGAUCUACGAUCCGGAUACCACCAACUACGAGUGCUAGAGGAGGAUGUUCCUAAGACAGCCUUCUGAACUCGUUAUGGACACUACAAGUUUGUAGUGAUGCCGUUCGGACUAACUAACGUGCCUGCAGUAUUCAUGGAUCUGAUGAAUAGGGUGUGUCAUCCUUACUUGGAUCAGUUCGCCAUCGUCUUCAUUGAUGACAUACCCAUAUACUCUCGAAGUAAGGAGGAACAUAGUCAACAUCUUCGUAGAGUCUUAGAAACAUUGCGAGCGGAGAAGCUCUAUGCGAAGUUCUCUAAGUGCGAAUUUUGGAUUUGACGAGUCGAAUUUUUGGGCCAUGUUGUUAGCGAAGAGGGAAUACACGUGGACCCUUCCAAAAUCAAGGCCAUUGAGAACUGGUCAGCACCGAAGACACCUACAGAAAUUCGUCAAUUUCUAGGUCUGGCUGGCUACUAUCGCAGGUUCAUUCAGAACUUCUCCCGUAUAGUGAAACCUCUUACAACACUGACCCAGAAGGGCGUAGUCUUUGACUGGGAAGAGAAACAAGAAAGUGCGUUCCAAACGCUCAAGCGAGCAUUGUGCACCGCACCGAUACUAUCCCUCCCCGAAGGGAUAGAAGACUUCGUUGUCUAUUGUGAUGCAUCAAAUCAAGGACUCAUAUGUGUUCUGAUGCAGCGAGGUAAAGUCAUAGCCUAUGCCUCGAGACAACUGAAGACACAUGAGGUUAACUACACCACCCACGAUCUUGAGCUAGGAGCAGUUAUGUUUGCUCUGAAGAUCUAGAGACACUACCUGUAUGGUACAAAAAGCACGAUCUUUACAGACCACAAGAGUCUACAACACAUUUUUGACCAGAAUGAGCUCAACAUGAGACAACGACGGUGGUUCGAGCUACUCAUUGAUUACGAGUGUGAUAUUCGUUAUCAUCCGGGUAAAGCCAAUGUAGUAGCCGACGCCCUAAGUCGGAAAGAAUAUGCUGGUCGUAGGGUCAAAUCUCUGACUCUAACUAUCCAUUCACACUUGUCCACACAAAUUAAGGAGGCUCAGCUCGACGCUUUGAAACCUGAAAACGUUGCUAGUGAAUCCCUUAGAGGGAUGGAUAAGAACUUGGAAGUCAAGGGUGGCAGAGCCUUAUACCUCAUGGAUCGGAUCUGGACACCGAAACACGGUGGCUUCAGAGACUUGGUCAUGACAGAAGCUCACAACACUCGUUAUUCCGUCCACCCGGGUUCAGAUAAGAUGUAUCUGGAUCUUAAAAAGUUAUACUAGUGGCCUAACAUGAAAGCAGGUAUUGCUACCUUCAUGAGUAAAUGCCUUACUUGCGCAAAGGUCAAGGUCAAAUACCAGAAACCCUCCGGUCUUUUACAGCAACCGUAGAUACCAGAAUGGAAGUGGGAGUGGAUCACUAUGGACGUCAUAACCAAGUUGCCCAAGACGACGGGCGGACUUGAUUCCAUAUGGGUCAUCGUCGAUAGACUGACCAAGUCUGCAUACUUUCUACCGAUCAAAGAAACAGACAAGAUGGAGAAACUUACAAGAACUUACAUUAGGGAAAUUGUAAGACUGCAAGGUGUUCCCUUAUCUAUUAUCUCAUACAGAGAUAGUAGAUUCACUUCAAGGUUCUGGCAGUCAUUACAAAGUUCCCUAGGAACUAGGCUGGACAUGAGUACAACCUACCAUCCACAAACCGACGGGCAAAGUGAGAGAACUAUCCAAACCUUAGAACAUAUGUUGCGCGCCUGUGUGAUUGACUUUGGGAAAGCUUGUGAUACCCAUUUACCCCUCGUCGAAUUUUCCUACAACAACAGUUAUCACACGAGCAUAAAGGCAGCUCCAUUCGAGGCCCUCUAUGGCCGAAAGUGCAGAUCCCCUCUGUGCUGGGCUGAGGUGGGUGAUACCCAGUUAGCUAAGGGACGAGUUCCCGAAAGCACUCUCACGGGUCCGGAGAUCAUUCGGGAAACGACAAAGAAGAUCGUUCAAAUUCGUGAACGAUUGAAAGCCUCUAGAGACCGACAGAAAAGCUACGCUGACAAGCGAAGGAAACCGUUGGAAUUCCAGGUGGGCGACCGAGUUCUACUGAAGGUCUCACCCUGGAAGGGCUUGAUAUGCUUCGGAAAGCGUGGGAAGCUAAAUCCAAGAUACGUAGGGCCUUUCGAGAUCCUUGCCCGAAUCAGCCCCGUAUCUUACAAACUCAAUCUACCGCACGAACUUAGUAACGUACAUCCUUCCUUCCACGUCUCGAACUUGAAAAAGUGUCUGUCCGACGAGACUCUUGUUAUUCCACUCGACGAGAUCGAGAUCAACGAGAGCCUCAACUUCGUGGAGGAACCAGUAGAGAUCAUGGACCGAGAGAUCAAGCAAACAAAGCAGAGCCGUAUCCCGAUAGUGAAGGUUCGCUAGAACGCAAAGCGAGGACCUGAAUUCACUUGGGAACGAGAGGAUCAGAUGAAACUGAAAUACCCUCAUCUUUUCUCUUAGUUAUUUAUAAUUUCUUAUUUGCUUAAAUUCUAAUUUCGGGACGAAAUUCCUUCUAACGGGGGGAUGAUGUGACAACCCGAAAUUUCCAUUCUGUACAAACAAUAUCACUUCAAUAAAAGUUAUAGCAGUCACAGUAAAUUUUCAGACUUUUCCGUAUAAGUUUGAGUAAUUCAGGGUUUACACUUCAAGAGAUAUCAGGAGAGUGGAUGCACUAGGGAUCAUUAGAGAUCAUUUCAGGAAUAAAAUAUUUUCUGCCAAAAAUCUCAGGACUAUAUAUAGAAUUCUGAACCAAUUUCAUUCAUUAUUUACAUUUACAACUAGAGAAAAACCAUUUUCUCUCUCUCAGAUCUUCGGGUUUUCAUCCCAAAUCGUGAGUACCUCUCUCUAGUUGUGUUAUAUAGCUUAUAAUGUGUUUAAUAACAUAUAUAUUACAUAACAAAACAACUAGAUUUAGGAGUUUACUCCCCAAGGUGUUCUUGGGCGGUAAACUCCCGAAAUGAUGCCUAGUCCCUUCCACUUGUUAAAUAACGAGCUUAGGCUUGUAUAUAGGUGUAUUUAAGACAAGAAAACAUCAAAGAAACACCAAACUUUAGGUGUUCACGGCCCAAGAAGAUCUUGGACCGUGAACUCCAAAAACAAGGACCAAAGAGUGCUUUUAACACUCCUAAAGCUUUAGACAAUUACCUAGAUUUACUCCUAGUUAUUUGAGGGACCUUAAAACAUC